UUUGAGCUUGUUUCAUUGGCUGUGGCAGA
rnacentral:piRNA from 2 species